GGUGGGAUACCCAAGCGGCCAACGGGGGCUGACUGUAAAUCAGCUGGUUUUACCUUCGAAAGUUCGAAUCUUUCUCCCACCACCA
rnacentral:tRNA from 1 species